rnacentral:rRNA from 1 species
AUUGAACGCUGGCGGCAGGCCUAACACAUGCAAGUCGAACGAGUGGCGGACGGGUGAGUAAUGUCUGGGAAACUGCCUGAUGGAGGGGGAUAAAUACUGGAAACGGUAGCUAAUACCGCAUACCAUCAGAUGUGCCCAGAUGGGAUUAGCUUGUUGGUGGGGUAACGGCUCACCAAGGCGACGAUACCUAGCUGGUCUGAGAGUAUGACCAGCCACACUGGAACUAAGACACGGUCCAGACUCCUACGGGAGGCAGCAGUGGGGAAUAUUGCACAAUGGGCGAAAGCCUGAUGCAGCCAUGCCGCGUGUAUGUAGAAGGCCUUCGGGUGGUAAAGUACUUUAAGCGGGGAGACGUUACCCGAAUAAGAAGCAACGGCUAACUCCGUGCCAGCAGCCGCGGUAAUUC